ACCUGGCUGGCUCAGUCAGUAGAGCAGGCGACUCUUGAUCUCCAGGCUGUGUGUUCAAGCCCCACAUUGGGUG
rnacentral:tRNA from 1 species